rnacentral:rRNA from 1 species
GACGAACCGUGCGAACGUUAUUCGGAAUUACUGGGCUUAAAGCGCGUGUAGGCGGGCCGGCACGUCCGACGCUGAAAGCCCCCGGCUCAACCGGGGGAAGUGGCGGGGAUACGACCGGCCUCGAGGGGGGUAGAGGGACCUGGAACUUCCGGUGGAGCGGUGAAAUGCGUUGAGAUCGGAAGGAACGCCCGUGGCGAAAGCGAGGUCCUGGACCCUUUCUGACGCUGAGACGCGAAAGCCAGGGAGCGAACGGG